CUACGGGGGGCACCAGUGAGGAAUAUUGCACAAUGGGGGGAACCCUGAUGCAGCAACGCCGCGUGGAGGAUGACGCAUUUCGGUGUGUAAACUCCUUUUAUAUGUCAAGAAAAUGACGGUAGCAUAUGAAUAAGCACCGGCUAACUCCGUGCCAGCAGCCGCGGUAAUACGGAGGGUGCAAGCGUUACUCGGAAUCACUGGGCGUAAAGGACGCGUAGGCGGGUUGGAAAGUCAGGUGUGAAAUCCUACAGCUUAACUGUAGAACGGCACUUGAAACUUCUAAUCUAGAGUAUGGGAGGGGGAGAUGGAAUUAGUGGUGUAGGGGUAAAAUCCGUAGAUAUCACUAGGAAUACCUAAAGCGAAGGCGAUCUCCUGGAGCAUUACUGACGCUAAGGCGUGAAAGCGUGGGGAGCAAACAGGAUUAGAUACCCGCGUAGUC
rnacentral:rRNA from 1 species